rnacentral:rRNA from 1 species
GAUGAACGCUGGCGGCGUGCUUAACACAUGCAAGUCGAACGGAAAGGCCCUGCUUUUGUGGGGUGCUCGAGUGGCGAACGGGUGAGUAACACGUGAGUAACCUGCCCUUGACUUUGGGAUAACUUCAGGAAACUGGCUAAUACCGGAUAGGAGCUCCUGCUGCAUGGUGGGGGUUGGAAAGUUUCGGCGGUUGGGGAUGGACUCGCGGCUUAUCAGCUUGUUGGUGGGGUAGUGCUUACCAAGGCUUUGACGGGUAGCCGGCCUGAGAGGGUGACCGGCCACAUUGGGACUGAGAUACGGCCCAGACUCCUACGGGAGGCAGCAGUGGGGAAUAUUGCACAAUGGGCGGAAGCCUGAUGCAGCAACGCCGCGUGCGGGAUGACGGCCUUCGGGUUGUAAACCGCUUUCGCCUGUGACGAAGCGUGAGUGACGGUAAUGGGUAAAGAAGCACCGGCUAACUACGUG